CGGCGGUGGCUCUUGGCAGGCCACCCCUCGGCUCCCUGGAGGCGGCGCGCCCUCUGCUGGUCCAUCUCUCGUCUUGCAUCUGGCGCAGGCAGGGGCUGCUGAGAGAACCUUCAGUCCUGGUAGAUGUGACUGAGAAGCAGAGUUUCCUCAAGAAUGAAGAAUAAGCCAUGUUCAACAGUAGAUGGGGUGACCUGUUUGUAGAGUUUCCUCUGGCUGAAGACCCUGGGGAAAAAACACAAAGGAGCAAGAUCUCACUCCAUCAUGAUCCUUCCUAGACUUCUGCCAUCCUGUUAAGGAAGACAGGACAAGCUUACUAGGACAUGAAAUAAAUCAUGAACUCCCUUGACAGUGUAGGUCAGUGUUUCCCAAUCUUUUUGUAAACCCAUGCCCACUUUGGAUAAAUGUUACAGUUUCAUGAUA